GAAAUCAUACUAUACAGAAUCAUUUCUGUAGUAUGUAUUUCGCAAUCCCAACAAAUCGGCGAUACCCGUCCACCGCGAUGAAUGGGAGACGGGCGAGCUGCGAGCGGGAAGAACGCGGGAACGCGUUGAGGACCGUGACCUGACCGCAAGGUUGGGAAAGCGGCUUGCUCUUCUGAGCGGU
rfam:Haemonchus placei strain MHpl1 genome assembly, scaffold: HPLM_scaffold0000815